ACGUGCACCACCUGGGGUCCCGUGGACAGAGUAUGGGAAACCCUGCACUAGGCCUUCCAUGUAAUGAGUUUGACACCUCUGUGCUAGGCCCUCUGUGUUUACAUAUGUAAAAGAGCUCUUUAGGCAUCUCAUCAUGACACUGCUGAGUGUUAGGGAAUGGCGCACGCAAGGCAUUCACACACUGUAUGUUGUGAACUUGUGACAGGUUCAUUGGAGAGGAGUCGUCUGCAUCCGGGGAGAAAUGCAUCCUCACAGACAGCCCCUCCUGGAACAUCGAUGGCACCUGUAACUUUGUUCACGGUUUCUCCAUGGUUGCAGUUAGCGUCGGUUCGCUGUGAAGAAAGAGUUUGAGUUUGGACUGAUCUACCAUUGCUUCGAUGGAAUGUUAUACACAGCAAAGAAAAGGCCAAAGGGGCAUUUUGCACUGGUGUAAGGAUCAACGUUUCAAAGGA